CGAAUACGGAAAACCGGAAAUCUUUUCACCGUGGUCGUUUUUGUAUAAUAUGACGCGAAAGGACGCUCGUCUGCUGAUGUUUGAAAUGGUCAGACAGUUGAUACAAAGAACUUUGGUUUUUCAAACAGAUGGUUCAAAAAGCUAUUGUAAACAGAUAUACUGAAAUGGGUUACACUACCGAUUAACUGGAAGAAACCGGGGAACGAAACAUACAUUUUAAAAAGUCAUCGCAACAAAAGUGUAUCCGGAUAACUUUUUUGUACUUGUCCAAUGAAAGGUAAAUAUAAUCAUGCACAUUUUUAGGACGAUGUUAGACUAGUUUUAUACUUUCAUGAAAAAAUAUAUAGUCACUUUAUCCACGUCAUGCAUGUUAACCCCGAAAAUCAGUCAAAAAUUGACAAAAACGGAAGCAAGUCAGUUCGCCCCACUGGUAAAACGCCAAACGCCCCACUUUUUUUUAACAACACGGCCUGUUUUUUUAAAUUGCUCCACUCUUUUUAAGGGAGCUCAGUCUCAUUCAUCUACCAUUUGAAUUGUAUGGGAGAAAAUAGGGUGGUUGGGGGUUGGAUGAAAGUGAAAUAUCGAGGACGAGUUUUGAGUAAAAAUCUAAAAGCCAGGGCCCCCCCCCCCCCCAAAAAAAAAAAAGAGUAACGACAAUGCAGGAUAACAUUUUCAUCAUAGCCCCCCCCCUAAACCCUUGAAAAUCCAAGUGGGAACUACCUUACCAACUCACCCCACUUUAUAUGCAACUUUGGAUCAAAUCCAGUUAAAUAUCCAGGUUUGAAAUUAGCAGGGGCCCAUUUGCCCCUAAAAUUUGGAGUGGGCUUCUAAAACUUCUGCUUUUCUUUCAUAGAACUAUAUAAAUUGUGUAAAAAAUAUAAGAUGUGGGCUACAAUGCCAUAAUUUGAACUUCAGCUUUUAUCCGACAGCUAUAUGUCGGAUAAAAGCUCUACAGAGCUUAAUUAUGUUGUAUUGUUAUAUGUAUAACUGACUUUAAAUAAAUCUUUUAUGCUUUUAUGCUCAUACUUCAAUCCCUAAUUAUACUCCUGCCAACAGUCAUGACAGUGGCAACUCACCUUACUUGGGAAAAAUCUAAAUGAAUACAACAUCAAUAUACAGUGCUCCAGCUAGAAAUCAAAAGGGGCAGGGUGCCAGUGGAGGGCAAGGCACUUUUUUAUGAUAGGAAAAGGCACUGCUCAUUUCUUUUCUUUACGUUUCUGUGUGUAUCACGAGUUCAUAUUCUUUUUUUUACUGUAUACAUGGUAUAUAUGUUGUCAAUAAAGAUGCAUAAGGUCCGAGACCGCAAUUGUCGUCCCUUGAUUUUUGUUAUUCACGAAUAUAGUCCCUAGUGUUGACAGUGGGUUACUUGCCAUUAAUUUUUAUACCCCUUCCAAAUUUAUUUCUCCAUGUUUAAUGCCUCAAAUUGCAAGAAAGGGGGUGGGUAAAUUACAGUGUAAAAAAAUUUGGGUCCCUAAUUUUUUUAAAGGAAAGUAGUGAUUUGGUCCAGGUGAAAAAGGUUGAAAAUUAGCACUUCAAGUUCGGAAGCUGUCAAAAGAUUUCAAGACGCUCUAAACAUAAAAUUGUCCAUAUUUUGAGUUAGAGCCGAUGAAGUUUUCUAUAAUUUUGAUAUAAUUUGUCCCAAAAGUAGUACAACACACUGGAAAAGUUUCUUUGAGAAAGCGCAGGUGGGAUUUUUUUUAUUUUCAUUUAUGUUCUAAAAGAAAUGCACUACGAAAUGAUUGUGGUCUCGGACCUAAGAUUUAUUGGAGAAUACAUUUAUUUAACUACUCUUAUAUGCUUAAUUUUUUUAGUGAUUUGCCAGAUAAUUGCAAAGAAACCUGUUAAUUGUAUCAUAAUAUAUCUUAUAGGUUUUUUUAGCCAACUCAAAAUCAUGCUUUUAGGACCCCCUUGUUGUACUGAGGAAGUGGACCGCUCAAGAAGAUGAAAGGUAAUGUAAAUAUAAAAAUAAGAAAAUGUAGUAUGAUUGCCAAUAAGAAAAGAGAGGAAUUUGUAAAAGUGAAAAUUCACUUGUUUUCCAAUCCUAAUACUAAUAAAAGUGUCUUAUAUUGUAAUGUUUAAAUUACCUAAUUAUUUUAAAAAAAAAAAAUUGUUUACACUAAUGAGAAAAGACAACUCUCCAUCAGAGAUCAAAUGACAUCAAAGUUAACAACUAUAGGUCACCAUACAUCCUUUAACCAUGAGCAAAGCCCAUACAUUAUACCAUAUAUACUGUAAAUUCUGAAAUAUUGUGUGCAUUUAUUAUUGCCACCAUUGCCAUUUUCAGUGGCAGAUCCAGAAAUUUUCAUAAGUGAGGGCCCACUGACUGCCUAAGAGGGGGCCCGCUCUGGUCAUGAUUCAGUGAUUCCCUAUAUAAUCAACCAAAUUUUUCCCAGAAAAGGGGGCCCUGGCCCCCACCUAAAUCUGCCUCUGAUUUUAUCAUUUAAGACUUAAAUGCAAGUUUAAUUUUUAGGAUUUUGAGAAAAAUCCUGUUAAAUUCAUAAAAAAUAUUUCAAAAUGCGAGUUUAAAUUAUUGCGUUUACAACUAAACUCUGUCCCAUUUUUAGCAAUAAUCAUGCUAAUAAAAACCUCACAAUAAUUUCUGAAUUUACAGUAGUCCUGGUAUAUAAAAAGACCCUAAAUGAAAACGAAAAAUUUGUAAAAAACAAUUCAAACUGAAUUACAGGCUUCUGACAUGGGACAGGCACAUACUAAUUGAAGGAUGUGAUGGGGGCUAGACUAUAUAGCUAGCAGUUUGUGGUGCCAAACCCACCUAACCUGGUACAUGUAUAUUGAUGUGAAAAGGGCUUAACUCACCAGAUCUAUACAGUAUACAAAAAAGAAAUGCAUCUAACAAAAACACACACAAGACGUGUUUUUUGACAGUAAAUUUAUUCACACAUUGGCAAGAUACAUGUACAUUGAAAAGUUGUUCUUUUGUUAAAUGCCUGAAGUACGGAUUAUAACACAAAUGACAACAGGCCCGAGAAUACAGUUCUUCCGUAGUGCAUUAAAUUCAAAUUUAAAAAAGUCGCACCUGCUCUUUCUCAAAAAGAUUUUUACAGUGUAGUGUACUACCAGUGAGACAAAUAAUAUCAAAAUUGUAGAAACUUCUACCAGCUCUAAUGUUCACGAGUUUAGUCUUUCCUAUAUCAAAAUGGUGUAUUUUAACAUUUUUGCCUAUUAACUUAAAACAGCAAAACAAGAUCUAAUAAACAUCUGACAGUAAUUAAUGCCUAGAAUGAUUUUUUAACUGUAUACAGCAGAAUAGAUAAAUUAAAACCAGAAAGUUCAUACUGUACAUAUAUUUAUUAGCUAAGCUGUUGAUCUUCUUUCUGUUGUUUGCUUACAUGUUCUUUGCAUUCACUCAAAAGUAAAAGUACAUAUAGUUCUGUAAAGGUAUAAAUUAGUGAGCAUCAGUUCAAUAUGUUCAUACUACAUCUAGUUUUUGUCUGGACUUCAUGGACUUCUUGAUUAAAUAAUUUAGAUUUUAUACAAUUUUAGCUUGUUACCAAAAGAAUGGAAAGUACAGUAUUAAAACCACUGGUGAACAUGUACUGUACAUGUAGGUGUGAAUGUCCUGCAAAAAGAACUGAUAUCAAAGUAUGUUCAUCUGCAGAAUUGCAGUAAAUAUAUAAAUAAUUUGAUGCACUCUGUUCUCAAGUAUAAUUGUACAUGUACACUUGCUUAUUUUUCUCUCUUUCCAAUGUCAAGUAUGCUUCAAGGCAUCCUUACCCUGAUCCCCUCCUGCUCCAUACACACACACUCAGAAGUUCAAAUAAUCAGCAUUUAAUAUUACAAACCUACCUAGUCAGACUGGCCUAUACAAUGUAUAUUAUGAAUUGACAAGUUGUUCUUGUUUUGAAUACAUAAAAUAUUUGCCACUGGACAUAGUUUCCGUACAAUAACUUUAGUUUAAGUAAAUGGAUAUCUAUCUCUAUGAAAUUUAAAUACAAGGUUUGAACCCACACAAGGAAGAUUGGGAUUGAUUUUGGGGUUAUGGUCCCAACAGUUUAGGAACAAGGAGCCCAAAAGGGGUCAAAAUAAGUAUUUUCCUAGGUUCCAGACAAUUACUUGUGUAUAAGUGUAUGGAUCUUUCUGAAAUUGUACCACAAGGACUUGAAGGUUCCAUACCAAAAAAAAAAGGUUGGGAUUGAUUUUGGGGGUUAUCAAUGGUUAUGGCACAAACUGUUUAUGAAUUAGGGGCCAAAAACAAUACUUCUCUAAUACUUUGUAUAAGUUGCUUAUUUCUAGACCAAUUUCAAUGGGGUUUUAUUCUUGAAUUCUUGGGGUUCUUUAAUAUGCUGAAUCAAACCCUGUAUUAAGUUUUUUUUAAUUUGGUCCCCGUUUUUAUACGACCGCAAAAUGUUUGCGUUCUUAUAUUGGUAUCACGUUGUCGGCUAUAUAUAAAAUGUACAAUAUACAAUGCAAUAUUCACUUAACUACCAACUGAUAAAUUAAAGCAAUCUUCACCAUUCAGUGAUUACAAGCACUCUGAUUACCAUUCUAGGGUUAUGCCCCUUUACAAGUGGAAAAAUUGAAGAAUUUUUUUAGUUUCUGUUCUCUUAACUUAAGUUUGUCUCAACUAAAUUUAAUGAAAUGUGUAUAUAAUGCUUAUUACCUCUAAACUCAGUUUAAGUUCAAUUUUUGGCAUCUUCACUUUUACAGUUCUUGAGUUAUGUCCCUUUAUAACGUUAUAUGCUAGCAGGGGCAUCAUCUGUGUCCUUUUGGACACAUUCCCCAUUUAUUUUUUUAGAAGUUACUAUUAAUUCUAACCAUGACUGUAUGACAUUUUAUAUUUUAAUAUUUUAUGAUGUAUUUAAAUGAGUAGUUAUUGUUGCAAACUCCAUUAGAAUUUUGAAUUGAGAUCAUUUUUGGAAUAAGAGAAAGGGGGACGUGGAAAAAAAAAUUGGGGAAAAAUUUGGGUGGGGGUCAAUUUUUUUUUUCUCAUUUUAGAUUUCAGAAUUUAAAAAGAAAAUUUCUUCAAAUAUUUUUUUUUUGAGAGGAUUAAUAUUCAACAGCAUAGUAAAUUGCUCAAAAGCAAAAAAAAAUUAAGUUCAUUAGACCACAUUUAUUCUGUGUCAGAAACCUAUGAUGUGUCAACUAUUUAAUCACAAUCCAAAUUCAGAGCUGUAUUCAGCUUGAAUGUUGUGUCCAUACUUGCCUCAACCUUCAGGGUUCGACCUCUGCAGUCGUAUAAAGCUGCACCCUGCGGAGUAUCUGGUUAAAUUGGUCACAUUUAGGUCCAAAUGCCAUACAUAUUAUAUACACAGGUAAUGUGUAGUACACAUGCAUGAAUAGAGUUAGUUUUUCAUUAUUUAAAAAAAAAGGAAAAUAUGUAGUAUCAUUGCCAAUGAGACAACUAUUCAUCAGGUCAAAAUGACUGAAUGUUAGCAACUAAAGAUCACUUUACAUGUAUGUACAACUUUCAACAAUGAGCAAAACCAGUACAGCAUCAAGCAAGCUAUGUCCUGGAAUGACAGAUGUAAAACAAUUCCAAAGAGAAAAUUAAGGGCCUGAUUUACAUAAAAGCGAAAAAAACAACCAAGAUAAAUACAUGUUGCAAAAACAACAACUAUUAUUUCUCCACUCCAGUUGUUCACACGAUAUUUAUGUAUAUAUAUAUAUGUAAGUUUGGUAAAUCAUUACUUAUCAAAUUUAUGUUAUCAUUUUUGCUUGAUUGGUAAGCCAAUAUUUUAUGGUUAUUUUUUUUUUUAAUUACAGCAACUGUAUUCCAAGAGUCUGAUGGCUGAUAAUGUAUUACAGGAUUUUAUCAUUCAAGCAACAUCUUAGAAGGAUAAGUGCAAAUGUAUGAAGGAAGCCGUGGGUACAAAUAGCAAUUACAGCAGAUACAUGCAGGAGAGAACUCUUAAACAAAGACAUGAUAUGGGAGUGAUGUAUUCAAGAAAUCUCAAACACAUGGAAUUAAAUAUUGUGUAUAUUUUUUCAAACACAAGUACUUUCAGAAUAUAAUACAAUCAUGACAAUUCAAAUUCA
rnacentral:lncRNA from 1 species